rnacentral:rRNA from 1 species
UACGAGGGGGGCGAGCGUUGUUCGGAAUUAUUGGGCGUAAAGGGUGCGUAGGCGGUUCGGUAAGUUUCGUGUGAAAUCUUCGGGCUCAACUCGAAGUCUGCACGAAAUACUGCCGGGCUUGAGUGUGGGAGAGGUGAGUGGAAUUUCCGGUGUAGCGGUGAAAUGCGUAGAUAUCGGAAGGAACACCUGUGGCCAAAGCGGCUCCCUUGACCACAACUGACGCUGAAGCCCGGAAGCUAGGGGAGCAAACAGG